rnacentral:rRNA from 1 species
CCUACGGGAGGCAGCAGUCGAGAAUCAUUCACAAUGGGGGAAACCCUGAUGGUGCGACGCCGCGUGGGGGAAUGAAGGUCUUCGGAUUGUAAACCCCUGUCAUGUGGGAGCAAAUUAAAAAGAUAGUACCACAAGAGGAAGAGACGGCUAACUCUGUGCCAGCAGCCGCGGUAAUACAGAGGUCUCAAGAGUUGUUCGGAAUCACUGGGCGUAAAGCGUGCGUAGGCUGUUUCGUAAGUCGGGUGUGAAAGGCGCGGGCUCAACCCGCGGACGGCAGAUGAUACUGCGAGACUAGAGUAGUGGAGGGGGAACCGGAAUGCUCGGUGUAGCAGUGAAAUGCGUAGAUAUCGAGAGGAACACUCGUGGCGAAGGCGGGUUCCUGGACAUUAACUGACGCUGAGGCACGAAGGCCAGGGGAGCGAAAGGGAUUAGAUACCCUGGUAGUC